AACGCACAUUGCGCCCCUUGGUAUUCCAUUGGGCAUGCCUGUUCGAGCGUCAUUUACCCCCUCAAGCUCCGCUUGGUGUUGGGCGUCUGUCCGCGCUUCCGGCGCGGACUCGCCCCAAAUCCAUUGGCAGCGGCUCCGCCGGCUUCUCGCGCAGCACAUUGCGCUCUCGGAGGCUCUCGGCGGGGCCCGCGUCCACCAAAGCAACCCCCCAUUUUGACCUCGAAUCAGGUAGGGAUACCCGCUGAACUUAA
rnacentral:misc_RNA from 1 species